GCCCGCUUGAUGGAAUUGGUAGACAUACAAGACUUAAAAUCUUGAGGCCGUCAGGCCGUCCCGGUUCGAGUCCGGGAGCGGGCACCA
rnacentral:tRNA from 1 species